rfam:Triticum urartu cultivar G1812 contig589281, whole genome shotgun sequence.
GCGAGCGAAGUUCAAUGGUAAAAUAUCUCCUUGCCAAGGAGAAGGUACGGGUUCGAUUCCAGCCGCUCGCC